UACGGAGGGGGCUAGCGUUGUUCGGAAUUACUGGGCGUAAAGCGCGUGUAGGCGGUCCGGUAAGUCCGCUGUGAAAGUCGGGGGCUCAACCCUCGGAUGCCGGUGGAUACUGUCGGGCUUGAGUACGGAAGAGGCGAGUGGAAUUCCUGGUGUAGCGGUGAAAUGCGCAGAUAUCAGGAGGAACACCAAUUGCGAAGGCAGUUCGCUGGGACGUUACUGACGCUGAGACGCGAAAGCGUGGGGAGCAAACAGG
rnacentral:rRNA from 1 species